rnacentral:lncRNA from 1 species
UUUAAUCAAAAAAUAAUUGUUCUAUGACAUACAAAUCUAUUUAACGAUAUAAUUAUAGUUCCUUCAUUUCGUAAUGUAGGCAUCAUUUUGUCAGUAUAGCCGAUAUAGAAUGGCUUAUAGAGUCCAAAUUUUGAUUAUAAUCUUCUACUUAAUUGUGAGCUGUAGAACAAACCCAGGAAUGAAUUGGGAAAAAGCUACUCUGCUUCUUGAUAAAAUACUGAUAAAUUACCAAAAUGGAGUAGUUCCUAUUUUUGAAAAUAAAGCAGUUGAAAUUAAGACAAGUAUUGUGAUGAACAAUAUGUUGCCUUUAGAAGACACUCCACAG